GACGAACGCUGGCGGCGUGCCUAAUACAUGCAAGUAGGACGCAGUUGCGAACGGGUGAGUAACGCGUAGGUAACUACCUAUUAGAGGGGGAUAACUAUUGGAAACGAUAGCUAAUACCGCAUACUAGUAGAUGGACCUGCGUUGUAUUAGCUAGUAGGUUGGGUAAUGGCCUACCUAGGCAACGAUACAUAGCCUACCUGAGAGGGGUAUCGGACAAACGGGGACUGAGACACGGCCAAGACUCCUGAGGGAGGCAGCAGUAGGGAAACUUCGGCAAUGGGGGGAACACUGACCGAGCAACGCCGCGGUAGUGAAGAAGGUUUUCGGAUCGUAAAGCUCUGUUGUUAGGGAAGCGGUACUUAACCAGAAAGGAACGGCUAACUACGUGCCAGCAGCCGCGGUAAUAC
rnacentral:rRNA from 1 species